GAGCGGCGAACGGGUGAGUAACACGUGAGUAACCUGCCCCUGACUCUGGGAUAAGCCUGGGAAACUGGGUCUAAUACCGGAUAUGACAUCUACCUGCAUGGGUGGGAUGUGGAAAGUUUUUUCGGUUGGGGAUGGGCUCGCGGCCUAUCAGCUUGUUGGUGGGGUAGUGGCCUACCAAGGCGACGACGGGUAGCCGGCCUGAGAGGGCGACCGGCCACACUGGGACUGAGACACGGCCCAGACUCCUACGGGAGGCAGCAGUGGGGAAUAUUGCGCAAUGGGCGGAAGCCUGACGCAGCGACGCCGCGUGGGGGAUGACGGCCUUCGGGUUGUAAACCUCUUUCAGCAGGGACGAAGUUGACGUGUACCUGUAGAAGAAGCGCCGGCUAACUACGUGCCAGCAGCCGCGGUAAUACGUAGGGCGCAAGCGUUGUCCGGAAUUAUUGGGCGUAAAGAGCUCGUAGGUGGCUUGUUGCNGUCUGCCGUGAAAGCCCGUGGCUUAACUGCGGGUCUGCGGUGGAUACGGGCAGGCUAGAGGCUGGUAGGGGCAAGCGGAAUUCCU
rnacentral:rRNA from 1 species